GAUGAAGAACGUAGCGAAAUGCGAUACGUAGUGUGAAUUGCAGAAUUCAGUGAAUCAUCGAAUCUUUGAACGCACAUUGCGCCCGCCAGUAUUCUGGCGGGCAUGCCUGUUCGAGCGUCAUUACAACCCUCAGGCCCCCGGGCCUGGCGUUGGGGAUCGGCGGAGCCCCCCGUGGGCACACGCCGUCCCCCAAAUGCAGUGGCGGUCCCGCCGCAGCUUCCAUCGCGUAGUAGCUAACACCUCGCGACUGGAGAGCGGCGCGGCCACGCCGUAAAACACCCAACUCUUCUGAAGUUGACCUCGAAUCAGGUAGGAAUACCCGCUGAACUUAAGCAUAUCAAUAAGCGGAGGA
rnacentral:misc_RNA from 1 species